UAAGCAUAUCAAUAAGCGGAGGAAAAGAAACCAACAGGGAUUGCCCUAGUAACGGCGAGUGAAGCGGCAACAGCUCAAAUUUGAAAUCUGGCUCUUUUAGGGUCCGAGUUGUAAUUUGCAGAGGGCGCUUUGGCGUUGGCAGCGGUCCAAGUUCCUUGGAACAGGACGUCACAGAGGGUGAGAAUCCCGUACGUGGUCGCUGGUCUUCGCCGUGUAAAGCCCCUUCGACGAGUCGAGUUGUUUGGGAAUGCAGCUCUAAAUGGGAGGUAAAUUUCUUCUAAAGCUAAAUACUGGCCAGAGACCGAUAGCGCACAAGUAGAGUGAUCGAAAGAUGAAAAGCACUUUGGAAAGAGAGUCAAAUAGCACGUGAAAUUGUUGAAAGGGAAGCGCUUGCAGCCAGACUUGCCUGUAGUUGCUCAUCCGGGCUUUUGCCCGGUGCACUCUUCUAUAGGCAGGCCAGCAUCAGUUUGGGCGGUUGGAUAAAGGUCUCUAUCACGUACCUCUCUUCGGGGAGGCCUUAUAGGGGAGACGACAUGCAACCAGCCUGGACUGAGGUCCGCGCAUUUGCUAGGAUGCUGGCGUAAUGGCUGUAAGCGGCCCGUCUUGAAACACGGACCAAGGAGUCUAACAUCUAUGCGAGUGUUUGGGUGUCAAGCCCGAACGCGUAAUGAAAGUGAACGGAGGUGGGAACCCUUUAGGGCGCACCAUCGACCGAUCCUGAUGUCUUCGGAAGGAUUUGAGUAAGAGCAUGGCUGUUGGGACCCGAAAGAUGGUGAACUAUGCUUGAAUAGGGUGAAGCCAGAGGAAACUCUGGUGGAGGCUCGCAGCGGUUCUGACGUGCAAAUCGAUCGUCAAAUUUGGGCAUAGGGGCGAAAGACUAAUCGAACUAUCUA
rnacentral:rRNA from 1 species